rnacentral:misc_RNA from 1 species
AACGCACCUUGCGCCUUUUGGUAUUCCGAAAGGCAUGCCUGUUUGAGUGUCAUGAAACUCUCAACCCCCCGGGUUUCCGGGUGGCUUGGACUUGGGCGCUGCCGCCUGGCUCGCCUCAAAAGCGUUAGUGGGAUCAGCCGCCGUCUUGACGUGAUAAGUUUCGUCCGGCCGGUGGCGACGCCCGCUCAGAACCCCCCAUGUAUUGUGCUCUGACCUCAAAUCAGGUAGGACUACCCGCUGAACUUAA